UACGUAGGGUGCGAGCGUUAAUCGGAAUUACUGGGCGUAAAGCGUGCGCAGGCGGUUCGCCAAGUCAGGUGUGAAAUCCCCGGGCUUAACCUGGGAAUUGCGCUUGAAACUAGCGGGCUUGAGUGUGGCAGAGGGGGGUGGAAUUCCACGUGUAGCAGUGAAAUGCGUAGAGAUGUGGAGGAACACCGAUGGCGAAGGCAGCCUCCUGGGCCAACACUGACGCUCAUGCACGAAAGCGUGGGGAGCAAACAGG
rnacentral:rRNA from 1 species